UUUGCCUUUAAACCUGUCCCGUGAGGCAGGCAAGGAGACUUAUAUAAAAAAGGGAUUAGUCUAUACAUGACUAGUCUUUUCGUCGAGCCUCCUUGUAUAGGAGGCUUUUUUAGU
rfam:Aerococcus urinae ACS-120-V-Col10a, complete genome.